AGAUAAUUUCAAUAACUGACCAUUUGCACAGAUAUACUGCAAAAUUCAUUCAUAAUAUCUGAAUACAUUCUUUAUUUAUUACUAACAACUUUCAAUAAUACCUGCACAGGGUCUUACUGGUGGUACUUCUGAGUGCUGCAAUUAUGUUCCAUAGAGCAUCAGGAAGUCAUCAGUCUGGGGGACCAUCAUUUCCUCCUUAUGCACACCAUGAAGCAGUCACUUCCCUUGCUGCCAGCCAGAAUAGAUUUACAUGUGAUUUGUACACUAAAUUGGCUGAAAAGAAGUCAGGCAACCUCUUUUGCUCAGCCUUUAGUAUCAUGACAGCUUUAGGAAUGACAUGUGCUGGAGCAGGAGGAAAUACUGAACAAGAAAUGCACUCUGUAAUGCACCUGAGUGAUGAUGCAUUUCAGGAUGUUGUGUCUGACACUUAAGGAGAAAGAUUUUGGAAUUUAAGUUAUGAGAAAUAGUUGGUGCACUCAACUCACAGCUACAUAAGAGGCCUGGGGUUGGAAUCCUGGCCAAGUAGGGAUAAUUUGGAUUUGUCUCCUUUCAAACUUUUCUCCCUUUUCACCUUACAGAAAAUAUUAAUGGUAUAAACCAAAAUAAUGUAACCCCAUAAUGUGGCUAAGACGUCCUACACCAGCAUGGGGAGAUAGAUGGCUUAACCUUCGUAACCCUGCCCUACAAGACUGUGUGAAAUCAUCUCUUUCUUUUAUAAUUUUGUCAGAUUUUUAAUUAACUUACCUUUCUUAUUAUUAGUCUACUCAACUUUUUUUCAUAUUUUGCCCUCACUGUUUAUGGAUUUGCAGUUUGAGAUACAUGACAGUGUUCUCUCCAAAAUUAUCAAAUUUUUUUUGUUUGCGUUUAUAUUCAACUUUUAAUUCUUGCUAGCAAAAUUUUGUGGGAAGUAAUCAAUUUAAAUCUACAUAUAUUAGUCAUAAUCACUCCUGCAAGAGUGAUGACCAAAUCUCCAACAUUAUCAUGUUGGAUAAUGCUGAUAAAUUUUUACUUUUGUCACAUAAUUUUCUUUAACCAUGUUCUAAAAUCUAAAUUAUGGGUGUUUUGGAUUUGAUGAUAUAAAAAACUAUAAAUUUACAAAACUAAAAUCUUCUAAACAUGAAAACUUACUGUAUAAAACAUGAGUAUUGGUUGUAGGUCAAAUAUUCAAAGUAGUAUAAGUGGGUCUUUUUUUUCUUUUUUUUUGCCAGUGGUCUAACGUAAAAAAAGUCUCUCAGAGAAUUGUAAGUCAUUUCUAUAUUAUGACAUAUAUUUGUUAUACUCAAAUUUUGAGUCUGGCACAGUGUAGAUGCAAAUUAAAAUCAGCUCAGGCAAUAAGGACUCAUAAGCAAAAUUUCUCACCCAAUAAGAGACUUUCAGAAAUAUUGUGAUUUCUGAAGAUGUGAUACAUUACCAUGUCCAGAGUUGAUUUAGUUUCAUUAUUGUCAUUAUUGUAAUGUGACAAAUACAGGCAGUGUGCUGAUUUUAGUAUGAAGUAGUGUACUAAAUUCCACAUAUUGAGAAGUAUAGGCUCCUUCCACCACUGUGCUAUAGGUGGAAGUUUCAGGUUUUCUUCAUGAUGAGUGGCUGAUUACAUGGGCUUAAACUGUCCUACUAAACACUGAUGUUCAGGCUAAAUUCACCUUUAUUGACACCUAG